AGUGAACGCUGGCGGUAGGCCUAACACAUGCAAGUCGAACGGCAGCACAGUAAGAGCUUGCUCUUACGGGUGGCGAGUGGCGGACGGGUGAGGAAUACAUCGGAAUCUACUUUUUCGUGGGGGAUAACGUAGGGAAACUUACGCUAAUACCGCAUACGACCUACGGGUGAAAGCAGGGGAUCUUCGGACCUUGCGCGAUUGAAUGAGCCGAUGUCGGAUUAGCUAGUUGGCGGGGUAAAGGCCCACCAAGGCGACGAUCCGUAGCUGGUCUGAGAGGAUGAUCAGCCACACUGGAACUGAGACACGCUCCAGACUCCUACGGGAGGCAGCAGUGGGGAAUAUUGGACAAUGGGCGCAAGCCUGAUCCAGCCAUACCGCGUGGGUGAAGAAGGCCUUCGGGUUGUAAAGCCCUUUUGUUGGGAAAGAAAAGCAGCAGGUUAAUACCCCGCUGUUCUGACGGUACCCAAAGAAUAAGCACCGGCUAACUUCGU
rnacentral:rRNA from 1 species